UCCGAAUUGGUGUAGUGGUAACAUUUGACGCUCUCACCGGUUCUGACCCUUACCUAGAGCACCGAAGGACUUGAAAAGAACAAGCCACAGAGCAUCGCGUCGAGUAGAGUAACCCACGUGCCAGAGGAAGGCCCACAGACCUUGGCCCGUCAAGCCCGGGGUUCGACUCCCCGAUUCGGAA